GUAUGAUGUACGAGUUGUGUUUGUGGUAAUUCACCGUUUGUUACUUUGUUUUUGGGGCUUGGUGUGAAUGUGUGGAAACAUUUUGGAUGAUGAUCGAGAGUAAAAGUUAAAGCCGGAUAUCCUCAAUUGUUUAUUGUAAAGUUGUAGUGCGAUGGAGAUCUUCCUGGCCGUUUCGUAAGACGUUUCGAUCUAAUCUGAGCGGCCCCAACCGUCACGUUUCCGGGAAUUCAGAAUAUGGAAGUGGGGACUAAGGCCCAAAAGAUGCUGGCGAUGGGGAGACGAGGAUAGAAUAGUAUUGAGAGUGCAUGGUAUGUGUGGAAAAAAAUUAAUCGUCUGUCCAUAGCUCUGUUUAGUCCAUGUCAGUAUUUUAUAGUUUUAAUAAACAGAAACAGAGAAGGAAAAUAAUGAAAUGAGAGAACAGGGAUUCCAGGGGGACCAGGGUUUCCAGACCGGGAUUGUUGAAUGGGUCCAGAGUGUGGAAACUUUGGUCACUAAGAGUUAGUUCUUCUGGAGACAUCAUGGGAGAAAGAUAUACCUUCUGCGUGCGAUAAUAAAGAAUUAAAGUUUAUCGCCAAAUCGUUUGAUAUUAUUUUGUAAAUCCCUAUCGAGGACGAGAGGUGGUGGAAAGACUGGGGCAGAAGAAGUAGUCGAAAACACUGGAAGGAGAGGAUGGUGGAGAUCCUGGGAGCGCCCCCAGAAAAGAGAAUGAUUGAGAGGCUGAGGAAGGCGGCAGAGGAGAGAAGAUGAAGGCGAAGAGGAAGGAGACGGGAGGAGAAGAAAGUAUUAGAUAAUGGGGGCUUACGGGGUUGUGUUUAUAGAUAAAUAAGGCCAUUUGUUUUUUUAUAUAGAGCUAUAUAUGUUAAUAUUAAAGUUAAAAUAGAAGAGACUUGUAAGAGAGGCUGGGGAGGAUGUAAAGCAAAGAAAGACAUUUGGAACAUCAAGGAAAUAAAUAAUAAAUAAAAAUAAAAAUAAUAGUAAAUCCCUAUCCAUAAUUCAAUAGAUAGGGGAAAAAAUAGGGGAAAAAUGUUAGCAAUUGUAAAAAAAUCGAAAUUAAUUUCCAAGCAGUGAGAGUUAAUGGUGGAUUCCCCUGACAUUGGAUUCCUCCUGAAAACUUCAGUGGACAUGAAUAAUAAAUAAUCAGAGGAUUGUUUUAUUUUCGACCUGAGAAUGAGAGAAAUCCGUUCACCAUUUGGAUUAAGCCCGAUAAGUGCUGAACGGAAUCGAAGUCGUUUGAAGAACUUUGAGGUAGUGAUUUGGAAAAAGGUAGAGUGGAUCGCUGGUAUCGAUUUCGGGGUCCGGGGUACUCCAGUGCGCUUCAUCCCAGCUGCCGAGUGGAGACCGUUCGAGUACUGGAAACUUGAGUUCCGGACAAACAACGAGAAGUUCGGGCGUUAUGGACUGUUUGUGAUAGCCACUGGAUACGUCUCCUGCACAUCUACGCUUUGGUGGGCUCGUUUUAUUUAGGAAGGGGUAAAGUCUCGGAGGAGGUGUAAUGUGUAAGCUGAGAUUUUACGGCUGGCUGUCACGUUCUUCUUACCUUGAGAGUUGGAGAUUGUGGGUUUGAGAGAAAUACGCGGCGCGAUUGAUAAGAGGUUUAUUUAGUCAAUUCAGUUUUAUUAUGUAAGUUUUAUGGGGCUCACGUACCCCAGUUGUCUCUCCCUCGCGAACCCCGUCUAUGACGUCGAGGGCUGCUAUUCACACGAGUUAAAACAUCCCCAUUACACGUGAAUCCGAACUAUACUUUUUGUUAGUGAUGUUACGUUUAACGAGUGGUGAACUCUACCAUUUUUCGUUUACUAGUAAAAAAAAAUAUUUUCGUUUACCAGUUUUGACUUUUUGUUUACUUGUAAACGAAAAGACACUUUUUGAAGGUGACAAAAUAGUCCAAAACGUUCCAGAGAACGUAGGAAACGUUCAGUGAAAAAGUUCAGGUGUCGUUCAGGGAAAAUUGUUGGAGAAAAUGAUCUGACUGUUUAAGAGAAGCUGCGGAAUCCACACGGAGAGAAAAAUCUAAUAAUUUUUAUAGUGUGAUUCUGAUGAAAAUUACUGUGCUGUCGUACAAUUUCGGCGUAAACUGCGGACCUGAGAAAAAUUACUACGCCUUCAUUCAAAGUGUGAUGCAACAUUUCCCAUGACGAAGUCCAACAUCGACAGUAAUCGGCGACAUUCGGGGCUCAUCGUUAACCAAUCACAAUGAGUCAUUGAAAAAUUGCUGUGUCCACAGUAAAAACUGAAGGAAGGCCCAAUAAAAUGGACUGACCUUGAUGGGAAUUUUUAAAAGAUUUCUAUGAUUUCUUCAUUCAAUCUACAAUGAAAAAUGAUAGACCUUCAAAUUUUAUAGCGCUGUUUGGUAAAUUUUAGCAGGCUCCAUAUCAUUAAUUACCAAAUUUAUUACAAAAUUGACAGUAUUGAUAGGAUUUUUUAUGUGUGAGUAAAAGACAUUCCAUUGCACCUCGAUUCUAGUGCACAGUAAUUUAUCACAGACUUUUCUCCCCAUUUACGGAGAGAAAUAUUCAAUCAAAACUACGUACCUUUUCCAUAAUAUGCGAUUGUCGGCAAUUUUACGAAACUGCCACAGAAUUUUUCCUGAAAUUUCCGUAAUUUUUGGUUGAACCGACUGCGAAAAAUUACGGUACGGUCGUGUCAAAUUUCCCAGUUAAUUCCGUAACAUCUAAACGAUCGACGAAUUCCGCAAUUGUUACGAAAUAUUUCUCGUUACGUAGUCUGGUAAUUUUUCUCGAAGGGUCAGAUCACCCUUCCUGAACAAUCAACAAAAUUUAUUGAGUCAUUCUGUCGUUCUCCCCCUCAAUCAGAACACAACACUAUUACCAAACGUUUAGAGACUAAUUCCAUCCAAUUUUUUCUCGAAUUUUUUUCUCGACAGUAGAACGAAAGAGUUAAUCAUGAAUUUUUCGCAGUGCAUAAAUUUAUCGGAAAGAUAGUAUCUGCCUCUUUCAAUGCUGUGACUUCAUCGAAGAAAGGAAUUUUAAAUAGAUAAGGUGCCACGAUAUUGGAGACAUGCACUUUGCUCCAUUGUUUAUCAGCGGAAAGUACUCGUCGGUGAGAAUACGACGGUGCACUCAAAUAGGGUAAAAAGUGCACCCUUGACAUCAUUUACUUGUCAGAUGACGAAUAACAAUGCAGAGCAUCGUUCACUCCACACGAUGAAAAGACAAAAAAUUACUUCGCUGACAUUUUGGGUCUGAUCCAUCACGGGAUUCAUCCACUCCGGUAACGCAGAAAGUUCCUAUGCCGGUAGACACCACUGAGCCUCCGAUUAUCGAUCUGUGGAGGCUAAAUAUAGAUGUCACGAUAUCAUGCAUUUUUGUAUUACUGUAUACAGAAGACGUGAAAAGGGUGAUCUUUCACUAUGAGCUUCUUAACUUCAGUUAAAGUACCUGAAUUAUUUCGAAAAAUUUUCAUUGAGAUUAUAAAACGGAAUUAAAUUGAACAAUUAAUUUUAACUUGAUUCUAAUUGUGGGAGUAAUUUAAAUAACAACAAAUGAAAGAAUAUUCUUGAGUAGAAAAUUCAUAACGUCCUCUCAUUAAAUGCACAUAAAUAUUAUACUAUUAUAUUAUUAUUAUUAUUAUAUAAUAUUAUUAUUGUAUAAUAUUAUUAUUAUAUUAUAGGGAUAUUAUGAAAUUUUUAUAAAACAAAAAUGAAACCCAAGUGAAUUGUUACUUUCAC